GGUUCUAUGGUGUAAUGGUUAGCACUUCAGACUCUGACUCUGACAAACUGAGUUCAAAUCUCGGUAGAACCU
rnacentral:tRNA from 1 species